UACGUAGGGGGCUAGCGUUGUCCGGAAUCAUUGGGCGUAAAGCGCGUGUAGGCGGUCCGGUAAGUCCGCUGUGAAAGUCGAGGGCUCAACCCUCGAAUGCCGGUGGAUACUGUCGGGCUUGAGUACGGGAGAGGCGAGUGGAAUUCCUGGUGUAGCGGUGAAAUGCGCAGAUAUCAGGAGGAACACCUAUGGCGAAGGCAGCUCGCUGGGACGGUAUUGACGCUGAGACGCGAAAGCGUGGGGAGCGAACAGG
rnacentral:rRNA from 1 species